UAUUCUGCCCAUGCGGGAAGGAUGAGAAGCUUCGACUAAGGUUCGAUUCGAGCGUAGCGAGAAAGCGUUGCCAAAGGCAACGACCCGAAGGGCGAAGCGCGCAGCGCUGAGUAAUCCUUCCCCCACCACCA
rnacentral:sRNA from 3 species